rnacentral:misc_RNA from 1 species
UACGGAGACUGCGAGCGUUACUCGGAUUCACUGGGCGUAAAGGGUGCGCAGGCGGAUAUGUGUGUCAGGUGUGAAAUCCCGGGGCUUAACUCCGGAACUGCGCUUGAAACUGCAUAUCUAGAGUCUUGGAGAGGUAAGCGGAAUUUCUGGUGUAGCGGUGAAAUGCGUAGAUAUCAGAAGGAACACCAAAGGCGAAGGCAGCUUACUGGACAAGAACUGACGCUAAGGCACGAAAGCGUGGGGAGCGAAAGGG